rnacentral:rRNA from 1 species
ACGGGGCCCGCACAAGCGGUGGAGCAUGUGGUUUAAUUCGACGCAACGCGAAGAACCUUACCAAGGCUUGACAUGCAGAGAAAUCCGGCAGAGAUGUCGGGUCCGCAAGGGCUCUGCACAGGUGGUGCAUGGUUGUCGUCAGCUCGUGUCGUGAGAUGUUGGGUUAAGUCCCGCAACGAGCGCAACCCCUACGUUUAGUUGCUAACGCGUGAAGGCGAGCACUCUAGACGAACUGCCGUUGACAAAACGGAGGAAGGUGGGAUGACGUCAAAUCAUCAUGCCCCUUAUGUUCUGGGCUACACACGUGCUACAAUGGCCGGUACAGACGGACGCAAAGCCGCGAGGUGGAGCAAAUCCUAAAAAGCCGGUCUCAGUUCGGAUUGCAGGCUGCAAUUCGCCUGCAUGAAGUCGGAAUCGCUAGUAAUCGCAGGUCAGCAUACUGCGGUGAAUACGUUCCCGGGCCUU